UUAGUACCGAAGUACCCGAUGUCACACUGUCAAGAAAAUUUCCUAGUUAGAAUAUCACUGCCCGUACCGCAAACCGACACAGGUAGUCGAGGAGAGAAUCCUAAGGUGAGCGAGAGAACUUUCGUUAAGGAACUCGGCAAAAUGACCCCGUAACUUAGGGAUAAGGGGUGCUGACCUCUGGUCAGCCGCAGUGAAUAGGCCCAGGCGACUGUUUAUCAAAAACACAGGUCUCUGCUAACUCGAAAGAGGAUGUAUAGGGGCUGACACCUGCCCGGUGCUGGAAGGUUAAGUGGACGCGUUAGCCGCAAGGCGAAGCGCUGAAAUGAAGCCCCAGUAAACGGCGGCCGUAACAAUAACGGUCCUAAGGUAGCGAAAUUCCUUGUCGGGUAAGUUCCGACCCGCACGAAAGGUGUAACGAUCUGGGCGCUGUCUCAACGAGAGACUCGGUGAAAUUAUAGUACCUGUGAAGAUGCAGGUUACCCGCGACAGGACGGAAAGACCCCAUGGAGCUUUACUGUAACUUGAUAUUGAAUGUCUACAUAAUUUGUACAGGAUAGGUAGGAGCCAAUGAAACCUGGACGCUAGUCUAGGUGGAGGCGUAACUGGGAUACUACCCUUAUUGUGUGGCCAUUCUAACCCGCGACCGUAAUCCGGUCGGGAGACAGUGUCAGGUAGGCAGUUUGACUGGGGCGGUCGCCUCCCAAAAAGUAACG
rnacentral:rRNA from 1 species